AAAAUGUAUUAUACAGUCGUUUCUUAGAAAAAAUAUUUGAGAGAUAUACAGUAAAAUGUUAAUGAAAACAGUACUUCAUCUUAGUAGGCAGGGUUUGAAGUGAUCUCUCUUUUAUUUUUAUGUGGUGGUACAUGUGGGUACCCAUGUGUCCAUGUGCCCAGUAUGCCUAUAAAUGCCAGAGGGCAACUUUAGGGGUUGGCCUUCCGGUACCUCUCACCUUUUCAGAAAGGAAUCUUUACCAGGUAGACCUAGCUUGCAAGGACAGGCCUGUCGUCUACUGUCAUGCUAUUGCUGGGCUUACAGGGAUACAGUCGUCCCAUACUCCUCACAUGGUUUCUGAGCAAUCCAAAAUCCUGUUCUAAUGCUUGUGGAGCUGGCUCCCUAUUUCCUUCACUCCUCCCCACUUUCUUUUUGUGUGUGUUUCCAAAGUUUCAAACGAUAGAAAACCCUAGGUUUUCUGAGCACAGAUAAGGAAUAAUGUUUGACUAGCAAUCACUGGCUUUCUGCAUUUGGGGUUUUUGUUUUGUUGUAAUGCUUUUAAGAUGUCUUGUUUUUUUUUUUUUUAAAUUACCUUCAGUUGUUAUCCCCCUCCUGGUCCACCCUCUGACAGUUCCUCAUCCCAUUCCUCCUCCCCCACCUCCAAGAGAAUGCCCUCCUCCUCACCCCUUCUCUAUCCCACCCUGCCAGGCCUCCCCACUCCCUGGGGCCUCAAAUCUCGCCAGGGUUAGGUGCAUCUUCUUUCACUGAGGUAAAAGCAGGCAAUUCUCUGCUGUAUAUGUUUUGGGGGGCGGGAGGAGCUUGUACCAGCUAGUGUAUGCUGCCUGGUUGGUGGCUUAGUGUCUGACAGAUCUCGGGGGUCCAGGUUAGUUGAGACUGUUGGUCUUCUUAUGGGGCCGCCCUCCUCAACUUCUUCCAGCCUUUCCCUAAUUGAACCACAUGGGUCCCUGACUUCAGUCCAUUGGUUGGGCAUAAAUACCUGCUUCUGUCUCAGCUGCUUGUUGGGCCUCUUGGAGGGCAGCCAUGCUAGGCCCAUUUAUAUGCACAUCAGUAAUAAUUGUCAGGCCUUGGAGCAAUCUCUUGAGAUGGAUGCCAAUUUGGGUUCAUGUUUUCCUUCAGUCUCUUCUCCAUUUUGGUCCCUGCAGUUUGUUUAGACAGGAACAGUUCUAGGUCAGCGUUUUUGACUAUGUGAUGGCAACCCCAUCCAUCCACCUGAUGCCUUGUCUUUUUAUUAGACAUGGACUAUAAGUUUCCUCUGCCCACUGUUUGGCACUUAAGUUCUCUCCCUUAGAGUACUGAGUGUGUCUCACCUACCAAGUCUCUGGCUCAUUCUAGAGGGUCCCCCAAUCUCCCAUGCUUGCAUAUUUUCAUUCAUUCUGCUGGUCCUCAGGGCUUCACUCCUGUUCCCCGCACCCCAAUACCUGAUCUUGUUCUUUUCCCCUCCCCCUUCCCUCUCCCACCCAGGUGCUUUCCUCACUCUGCUCCCCCACAAUUGCUUUCUUCUUCCUCCCAAGAGGGAUUGAGGCAUCCUUACUUGGGCUCUUCUGUGUGUUAAUCUUGAGUUCUGUGGAUUGUAUCCUCGGUAUUCUUUACUUUUUUGGCAAAUAUCCACUUAUUCGUGAGUAGAUGUCAUUCAUAUCCUUUUGGAUCUGAGUUACCUCACUCAAGAUGAUAUUUUCUAGUUCCAUCCAUUUGCUUGCAAAACUCAUGAUUAGCUGAGUAUUAUUUUGUUGUGUAAAUGGACCACACUUUCUGUAUCCAUUCUUCCACUGUGGGACAUCUGGGUUGUUUCUAGCUUCUGGCUAUCACAGAUAAGGCUGCUAUGAAAUUAGUGGGACAUGUCCCCCUGUAGCAUGGUGGGGCAUCUUGGGUAUAUGCCCAAGAGUGGUAUAGCUGGGUCUUCAGGUAGAUCUAUUUCCAAUUUUCUGAGGAACCUCCAGAUUGAUUUCCAGAGUGGUUGUACCAGCUUGCAAUCCUACCAGCAAUGGAGGAGUGUUCCUUUCUCCACGUUCUCACCAGCAUCUGCUGUUACGUGAGUUUUUGAUCUUAGCCGUUUUCCUUGGUGUAAUGUCGAAUCUCAGGGUCAUUUUGAUUUGCAUUUCCCUGAUUACUAGGGAUUUGAACAUUUCUUUUAAGCGCUUCUCAGCCAUUUGAAAGUCCUCUAUUGUGAAUUCUACACUUCAUUUUUUAUUGGCUUUUUUUUAAGGUUAACUUCUUGAGUUCCUUAUAUAUUUUGGAUAUCAGCCCUCUUUUGCAUGUGGGGUUAGUGAAGAUUUUUUUUCUAAUGUAUAGGCUGCUGAUUUGUCCAAUGGACUAUGUCCUUUGCCGUAAAGAAGCUUUCCAGUUUCAUGAAGUUCCAUCCAUCAAAUUUUGAUCUUAGACCCUGAGUCGUUGGAGUUCUGUCUAGGAAACUGCCCCACCCUGUGCCAAUGAGUUCAAAGCUCUCUCCCACUUUCUCUUUUAUUCGAUCCAGUGUAUAAAGCUCAAGUCCAAGUAAAUUAAGAUAUACUCUUUAGGCAGGCGAUGCAGUACAUGCCUGUCAUCCCCAGCCUCGGGGAUAGUAAGUUUGAGGCUAGCUUUGGGUUAUAUGGUAAAAGCUUUUCUCAAAAACAACUAUAAAAAGAAAUAAAAAGUCUCAUUUGAAGGUAAUAUCCAGAGGGAAAUAAUUCUAUAAUUAUCAGUUUCUUUUUUUCUCCAUUGAACAUAGAAAGCUUCCUACUUCUAGGCUUAAUUAUCUCAAUAUUUUGCUAACUCAUCUAAGUUAUUUCUGAAAUGAUUGUUCACUUCAGAAAUAUUUUAAAAACAAAUUUUGGAGGCCACUAUUUUAACACUAAACAGUUGUGUAUAUUUUUGUGAUAUUCUUUAUCAUAUUUUGUUACCUUGGUUUUGAGUUUUUGAACCUCCUAACUGUACUUCUUAAAUAUACAGUUAGCAUAAUAUAUUAUUGUUACCAAGUUCCUAAUCACAUUCAACUUUUCAUCCUUAAGAUAAUCUUGGUUUUUUUUUUAAAUCUUUUUCCUGAUAAUUUGUGAGUUUCAUAUUAUGUACCCAAGUGCUGUUCAUCUCUCUCCCCUCGUAUCUACCCUCUGCCCUUGCAAACCUCCUCUCC
rnacentral:lncRNA from 1 species